UACCAGCUGGCUGCAACUGUUUAUUAAAAACACAGCACUGUGCAAACACGAAAGUGGACGUAUACGGUGUGACGCCUGCCCGGUGCCGGAAGGUUAAUUGAUGGGGUCAGCGCAAGCGAAGCUCCUGAUCGAAGCCCCGGUAAACGGCGGCCGUAACUAUAACGGUCCUAAGGUAGCGAAAUUCCUUGUCGGGUAAGUUCCGACCUGCACGAAUGGCGUAAUGAUGGCCAGGCUGUCUCCACCCGAGACUCAGUGAAAUUGAACUCGCUGUGAAGAUGCAGUGUACCCGCGGCAAGACGGAAAGACCCCGUGAACCUUUACUAUAGCUUGACACUGAACAUUGAGCCUUGAUGUGUAGGAUAGGUGGGAGGCUUUGAAGUGUGGACGCCAGUCUGCAUGGAGCCGGCCUUGAAAUACCACCCUUUAAUGUUUGAUGUUCUAACGUGGACCCGUGAUCCGGGUUGCGGACAGUGUCUGGUGGGUAGUUUGACUGGGGCGGUCUCCUCCUAAAGAGUAACGGAGGAGCACGAAGGUUGGCUAAUCCUGGUCGGACAUCAGGAGGUUAGUGCAAUGGCAUAAGCCAGCUUGACUGCGAGCGUGACGGCGCGAGCAGGUGCGAAAGCAGGUCAUAGUGAUCCGGUGGUUCUGAAUGGAAGGGCCAUCGCUCAACGGAUAAAAGGUACUCCGGGGAUAACAGGCUGAUACCGCCCAAGAGUUCAUAUCGACGGCGGUGUUUGGCACCUCGAUGUCGGCUCAUCACAUCCUGGGGCUGAAGUAGGUCCCAAGGGUAUGGCUGUUCGCCAUUUAAAGUGGUACGCGAGCUGGGUUUAGAACGUCGUGAGACAGUUCGGUCCCUAUCUGCCGUGGGCGCUGGAGAACUGAGGGGGGCUGCUCCUAGUACGAGAGGACCGGAGUGGACGCAUCACUGGUGUUCGGGUUGUCAUGCCAAUGGCACUGCCCGGUAGCUAAAUGCGGAAGAGAUAAGUGCUGAAAGCAUCUAAGCACGAAACUUGCCCCGAGAUGAGUUCUCCCUGAGACUUUAGGUCUCCUGAAGGAACGUUGAAGACGACGACGUUGAUAGGCCGGGUGUGUAAGCGCAGCGAUGCGUUGAGCUAACCGGUACUAAUGAACCGUGAGGCUUAACCUUACAACGCCGAAG
rnacentral:rRNA from 1 species